GAAAACAAGGAUCUACCCGAUGUAGUUCCUCUUACUUUAUGGAACAAGUCUAGAACCAAGCUUCAACUCAUUUGAAGAACUAUCCUGGGAGAACGACAGAUAAAGUUUCCAAGAUGUCAAUGGCUGGAGGCAUCAUACCUAUAUAAUGUACUGCAGACUGCACAGGAUGGAAAUCAGAUGAUGUGCAACAGAAAUGCUCAAGCCAAAGCUCACAGGGUACCUGCAUUUGUUACUUAUGCUUAAACAAUAAAACAUAUGCUUAAAGCAAUAGCUUUUGUUAGAUUCAAUAAUUUGCUGAGAUGAGCACUGCAAGUACUCUGCAGCACUCCUCCUUUACUGAAAUUAAUGAAGCAGAAAACAAUGUGUAUUUGGAGCACAGCUUAAUAUUUGAGUGACGUAAUAUUGUUCCAGAAUUCAGCUAGAUAUAAUUUUAUUUUCUAUGUUGAAGAAACUGAACAAUAUUUUUUAAUUAAAUGUAUCUUGGAUUAAGUUUCAUGCUCUUUGCACGAAUAUGUCCAAUCUGUCCUGUGCUAUGAUUAGCAUACAUGGACAAAGGCUACUUUUUGUUCACAUUUUAUAGUAUAUUUUGGCAAUGAGUAAACAGUACAAUGAAUCAAAUUAAUGAAGGGAAAAUAUGUAUUGUUCUGUACUCUUGCUGUAGAAAUUUGGCUCCAUAAAACUGCUAUAUUAAGAAUGGAUUCAAUUAAUUAAAAGUAUUUUUCACUAACAGCUGUAUGUUGGUACAGAACACACACAUUACAGUUUUAACUCUUUAAGUUCAGCUUGCAGAAAGGUAUUAUUUGUGCUCACUUAGUGGUCUGAUAAUUAAGACAGUAAUUCACAGAAACUAAAAAAAAAAAUAAAAUAAAUAGAUGAAAUAAUGAAGAGCUGACAACACCAAAAGUUUAAAAACAUCUGAGGAAUGUUUAGAUUUUUCACUACCUGGUACAAACAUUCUUCAGCAUAAAGAGUCUUACAGACAGUUAAUCCUGUAAGGAUUAACUAUUUUAGUAACUAAUUUCCCCAAAUUAUGUUUACUCAAGUGCGCAAAAAGCUAGCUUUAUGAUCAAUGCACUUCAGUUUUUGUUUGUUCAAUAAACAUUUGAGUUCU
ensembl:lncRNA